rnacentral:rRNA from 1 species
CGGUCCGUAAACCCCUGUCAUUUGUGAACAAAUUGCUUCACCCAAUACGUGAAGCAUUGAUAGUAACGGAAGAGGAAGGGACGGCUAACGCUGUGC